rnacentral:lncRNA from 1 species
CCGCACAACUUCUGUUGACUGGCUGUUUCGCGGAUAUCCAUAUUGUUCCGUAUUCUAAUGGAGCAAGGUCGACCCUUUGGUUUGCGACGCAAUUCUCUAUCUAGUAACAGCUUAAAAAGAGCAAGAGAUACGGGCGGCCACCUACGUUCAUCUGGGACCGGUGGGAAAACAUGUCUCCAUACGUUGUACAUGUUUUCUAAUUUGUACACUUCGUCUACAUAACUCA